rnacentral:rRNA from 1 species
UGGGGAAUAUUGCACAAUGGGCGCAAGCCUGAUGCAGCCAUGCCGCGUGUAUGAAGAAGGCCUUCGGGUUGUAAAGUACUUUCAGCGGGGAGGAAGGGAGUAAAGUUAAUACCUUUGCUCAUUGACGUUACCCGCAGAAGAAGCACCGGCUAACUCCGUGCCAGCAGCCGCGGUAAUACGGAGGGUGCAAGCGUUAAUCGGAAUUACUGGGCGUAAAGCGCACGCAGGCGGUUUGUUAAGUCAGAUGUGAAAUCCCCGGGCUCACCCUGAGAACUGCUGCUGAUACUGGCAAGCUUGAGUCUCGUAGAGGGGGGUAGAAUUCCAGGUGUGGCGGUGAAAUGCGUAGGGAUCUGGAGGAAUACCGGUGGCGAAGGCGGCCCCCUGGACGAAGACUGACGCUCAGGUGCGAAAGCGUGGGGAGCAAACAGG